AUUGAACGCUGGCGGCAGGCCUAACACAUGCAAGUCGAGCGGCAGCGGAAAGUAGCUUGCUACUUUGCCGGCGAGCGGCGGACGGGUGAGUAAUGUCUGGGAAACUGCCUGAUGGAGGGGGAUAACUACUGGAAACGGUAGCUAAUACCGCAUAACGUCGCAAGACCAAAGAGGGGGACCUUCGGGCCUCUUGCCAGCAGAUGUGCCCAGAUGGGAUUAGCUAGUAGGUGGGGUAACGGCUCACCUAGGCGACGAUCCCUAGCUGGUCUGAGGGGAUGACCAACCACACUGGAACUGAGACACGGUCCAGACUCCUACGGGAGGCAGCAGUGGGGAAUAUUGCACAAUGGGCGCAAGCCUGAUGCAGCCAUGCCGCGUGUAUGAAGAAGGCCUUCGGGUUGUAAAGUACUUUCAGCGGGGAGGAAGGUGUUGAGGUUAAUAACCUCAGCAAUUGACGUUACCCGCAGAAGAAGCACCGGCUAACUCCGUGCCAGCCGCCGCCGUAAAAC
rnacentral:rRNA from 1 species